AUUGCUUCUGGGCCUUUUGGCUAAGAUCAAGUGUAGUAUCUGUUCUUAUCAAUUUAAUAAAAUUACGGUUUCAUUCUUGAGGCCUGAAUUUCUGACAGAUAUCUCAGUUAAAAAGGGACAUCUCUGCCUCUCAGUAACUUUGUUUCAGGAAAGGGAUGACAUGAAAAGUAUGUUUCCUGAGACCUUGUA